rnacentral:rRNA from 1 species
UUGACCUCAAAUCAGGUAGGACUACCCGCUGAACUUAAGCAUAUCAAUAAGCGGAGGAAAAGAAACUAACAAGGAUUCCCCUAGUAACUGCGAAGUGAAGCGGGAAAAGCUCAAAUUUAAAAUCUGGCAGCCUUGCUGUCCGAGUUGUAAUCUAGAGAAGUGCUUUCCGCGUUGGACCGUGUACAAGUCUCUUGGAACGGAGCGUCAUAGAGGGUGAGAAUCCCGUCUUUGACACGGACUACCAGUGCUUAUGUGAUGCGCUCUCAAAGAGUCGAGUUGUUUGGGAAUGCAGCUCAAAAUGGGUGGUAAAUUCCAUCUAAAGCUAAAUAUUGGCGAGAGACCGAUAGCGAACAAGUACCGUGAGGGAAAGAUGAAAAGAACUUUGGAAAGAGAGUUAAACAGUACGUGAAAUUGUUGAAAGGGAAACGCUUGAAGUCAGUCGCGUUGGCCAGAAGUCAACCUCGCAUUGAUUUGCAGGGUGAAUUUUCUGGUUUUUAACGGGUCAGCAUCAAUUUCGAU